rnacentral:rRNA from 1 species
UACGAAGGGGGCUAGCGUUGCUCGGAAUCACUGGGCGUAAAGCGCACGUAGGCGGAUCGUUAAGUCGGAGGUGAAAUCCUGGAGCUCAACUCCAGAACUGCCUUCGAUACUGGCGAUCUUGGAGUCCGGGAGAGGUGAGUGGAACUCCGAGUGUAGAGGUGAAAUUCGUAGAUAUUCGCAAGAACACCAGUGGCGAAGGCGGCUCACUGGCCCGGUACUGACGCUGAGGUGCGAAAGCGUGGGGGAGCAAACAGGGAU